rnacentral:piRNA from 1 species
UUCCAUGAGACGCAGCGGCUUUAGAUGU